UACGUAGGGUGCAAGCGUUGUCCGGAAUUAUUGGGCGUAAAGAGCUCGUAGGCGGUUUGUCGCGUCUGCUGUGAAAACCCGAGGCUCAACCUCGGGCCUGCAGUGGGUACGGGCAGACUAGAGUGCGGUAGGGGAGAUUGGAAUUCCUGGUGUAGCGGUGAAAUGCGCAGAUAUCAGGAGGAACACCGAUGGAGCGAAGGCAGCUCACUAAGCCAUAACUGACGCUGAUGCACGAAAGCGUGGGGAGCAAACAGG
rnacentral:rRNA from 1 species